GACGAACGCUGGCGGCGUGCUUAACACAUGCAAGUCGAACGGAAAGGCCCUGCUUGCAGGGUACUCGAGUGGCGAACGGGUGAGUAACACGUGGGUGAUCUGCCCUGCACUUCGGGAUAAGCCUGGUAAACUGGGUCUAAUACCGGAUAGGAGCCAUUUUUAGUGGGAUGGUUGGAAAGUUUUUUCGGUGUAGGAUGAGCUCGCUGCCUAUCAGCUUGUUGGUGGGGUAAUGGCCUACCAAGGCGGCGACGGGUAGCAGGCCUGAGAGGGUGGACGGCCACAUUGGGACUGAGAGACGGCCCAGACGCCUACGGGAGGCAGCAGUGGGGAAUAUUGCAGAAUGGGCGCAAGCCUGAUGCAGCGACGCCGCGUGGGGGAUGACGGCCUUCGGGUUGUAAACUACUUUCGCUAGGGACGAAGCUUUUGUGACGGUACCUAGAUAAGAAGCACCGGCUAACUACGUG
rnacentral:rRNA from 1 species